CCGCGGCCAUAUUUGUCGUCGGUUCAAAUGAUUAGCCAAGCAAGGGAAGUUUGCAACCCCCUCAGCCCUCGUUUUUUAUUUUGUUUGCGAGUGUACAAUUAUGUUCACCUCGGGGACUGAAACGCCCCAUAAUUAAAUUCGCAAUGAUUGUUCAUCCGCUAAGAAAAGUCCACCAAAACUUAAAACCUCAACAUCAAUAUGAAAUCAACAUACAAGUGUUUUUAUAUGACCAAUCAUAUCGAGUGGUUCCAAUGACGAGUUUGACGUGAGCCACCCGUCCCUGGUGACUUUCCUCAGCAAAGAUGGCUGACAAAACAUUACGGGGGAAGCAAAUGGACUCCUGAGAAAACCAGCAAACCAAAUAUAUUCAUUGAUCAUGUACUUUUCCUUGGCAAAUAAAUGUGAGGUUCAGGUAUGAAUCUCUGUGAGACA